UGAGCAGGAGCUGGAGGGGGAAAGGAGUCUGUUCCUCCAACUGAGCUGAGGAGAGGCCACUGUACCACCUGGGCUGCUGCUGCUAGGCUGUUUCUUCAAAGAUAAUAAACCUUGAUCUUAUUGAAGCCAGAGUCAUGAAGAGGGUCUCUUUUCUCCCUCUGCUUCCUGCUUUGACAGAUCCCUUUCCUGAAGCAAUGAGGGUAGAACGCUUUGUCCCAAAGCCCCAGGUGGCUUUCAGGAUGAAGACUGUUCUGUGCAUGUCCCUGGAGCGUCCUGCUUCUGGCUGGGUACUGGAUGGAACCCCUGCAGCUGCCCUCUACUCGCAGCAGUCUUCCCACUGGCCACCUCUGAGCCCCCAGUUCAACCCUACUUGACCCAGCAGACAUCUGUCUCCCCCAGGCUGUGGAUCCAAGGAAGGUGGAGACCACAUCUGUUGAGCAGCUUCCAGCAGCACCUGGUGCAUGAGACUGCUUUAGUCGGUUGGAAAAAGUAACCCCUCACCUGUGCGCCUGUGAGUAAAUACUCACCUACGUUCCUGUGAGUGACCCCCACCCAUGCUCCUGUAAGAAACCUCUCAUGCCUGUGCCUGUGAGUGACCCCAGGAAAGCCAUCGCUUCACCGAGUUGGACUUCAUGGAAUUCUUUUGGUGUGUCAUUGUUUCCCCCCUAUCUGGGGGAAACAGACUUUUUCUUCUGUGUCCUCAGGAAAAGUCACCACAACAGAGCCAUUCUCGUCAUCAUAUGAGUCCACUGUAGCCCAAAUGUCACACAACUAUACCUGGGUAAUAAAUACAGAGGCAAAAGGCUAAGAAUAAAAGCAAAGUCCCUACACUUUGGGCUGGUGAGAUAGUUCAGCAGGUAAAAGCACUUGUCUAACCAAGCACACAAGCCUAACCACCCAUGUCCCACUCAGAACCCACAGCAGAAGGAGACAACCGCCACCCAAAAGUCCUCUGACCUUCACACAUGCACCUUGUGUACACACACACACCAAAAAAAAAAAAAAAAAAAAAAAUACAAGAAUUGACUUGCAAGUUGCCACACUUCAACAAGUGGGCCAGGACCACUUGAAUCUGGGGCCCAGUUGCUCCGAGGCCUUCUGCAGUCGUCUGUAGCCUCACUCCUCACAACCCAUGGCCCUAACACAAAUGGUCAGUCUGAAGAAAGACAACUUAGGGGCUAGAGAGUGAGUCAACAAUUAAGAACUCAGGGGCUUGCUUUUAAUUCCCAGCACCAGUGCCAGGUGGCUCACAACAGCCUGUAACUCCAGUGCUGGGGGAUCCAAUACCUCCGGCCUCCGUACCCCAACACAUACACACAUGCAUACAUAUAAUUAAAAAUAAUAAAAUAAAUCAAAACAAGACAACUUUAUACUUAACAAGAUCCAAUGGCAAUAAAGUAAAGGAUAAAAUACACGUAAUUAUCUUAAGAUAUGGAGCACCCAUAUACGAGAAUAAUACUCAGAGGGAUGACAUUCGAUGUAUGCUACCAUGUGGGUAAAAUUUCAAAGCAUUAUGCAUAAGAAAGAGGCUUGUUACAAAAUAAACUAUGGAAACUGCA